rnacentral:rRNA from 1 species
AGCGGCCAUCGGAGCAGGGCCACACCCGAACCCAUCUCGAACUCGGAAGUUAAGCCUGCUCACGACAAAGCCUGUACUGCGCUGUGCGCGGGAACGCUCGUUGUUGCUG